rnacentral:tRNA from 1 species
AGGGGUAUAGCUCAGGGGUAGAGCAUUCGACUGUAGAUCGAGAGGUCCCCGGUUCAAAUCCGGGUGCCCCCU